rnacentral:rRNA from 1 species
GAUGAACGCUGGCGGCGUGCCUAAUACAUGCAAGUCGAGCGAACGGACGAGAAGCUUGCUUCUCUGAUGUUAGCGGCGGACGGGUGAGUAACACGUGGAUAACCUACCUAUAAGACUGGGAUAACUUCGGGAAACCGGAGCUAAUACCGGAUAAUAUUUUGAACCGCAUGGUUCAAAAGUGAAAGACGGUCUUGCUGUCACUUAUAGGUGGAUCCGCGCUGCAUUAGCUAGUUGGUAAGGUAACGGCUUACCAAGGCAACGAUGCAUAGCCGACCUGAGAGGGGGAUCGGCCACACUGGAACUGAGACACGGUCCAGACUCCUACGGGAGGCAGCAGUAGGGAAUCUUCCGCAAUGGGCGAAAGCCUGACGGAGCAACGCCGCGUGAGUGAUGAAGGUCUUCGGAUCGUAAAACUCUGUUAUUAGGGAAGAACAUAUGUGUAAGUAACUGUGCACAUCUUGACGGUACCUAAUCAGAAAGCCACGGCUAACUACGUG